rnacentral:rRNA from 1 species
GAUGAACGCUGGCGGCGUGCCUAAUACAUGCAAGUCGAGCGAACAGACGAGGAGCUUGCUCCUCUGACGUUAGCGGCGGACAGGUGAGUAACACGUGGAUAACCUACCUAUAAGACUGGGAUAACUUCGGGAAACCGGAGCUAGUACCGGAUAAUAUAUUGAACCGCAUGGUUCAAUAGUGAAAGACGGUUUUGCUGUCACUUAUAGAUGGAUCCGCGCCGCAUUAGCUAGUUGGUAAGGUAACGGCUUACCAAGGCAACGAUGCGUAGCCGACCUGAGAGGGUGAUCGGCCACACUGGAACUGAGACACGGUCCAGACUCCUACGGGAGGCAGCAGUAGGGAAUCUUCCGCAAUGGGCGAAAGCCUGACGGAGCAACGCCGCGUGAGUGAUGAAGGUCUUCGGAUCGUAAAACUCUGUUAUUAGGGAAGAACAAAUGUGUAAGUAACUAUGCACGUCUUGACGGUACCUAAUCAGAAAGCCACGGCUAACUACGUG